UACGUAGGUGGCAAGCGUUGUCCGGAUUUACUGGGCGUAAAGAGCGCGCAGGCGGCUGGGCAAGUCCGAUGUGAAAGCUUCCGGCUUAACUGGAAAAUUGCAUCGGAAACUGCUCGGCUUGAAGGUGGGAGAGGGUAGCGGAAUUCCCGGUGUAGUGGUGAAAUGCGUAGAUAUCGUCUGGAACGCCAAAGGUGAAAACAGUCUGCUGGGGACUUGCUGACGCUGAGACACGAAAGCCAGGGGAGCGAACGGG
rnacentral:rRNA from 1 species